rnacentral:rRNA from 1 species
AUUGAACGCUGGCGGCAUGCCUUACACAUGCAAGUCGAACGGCAGCACGGGAGCAAUCCUGGUGGCGAGUGGCGAACGGGUGAGUAAAGUAUCGGAACGUGCCCAGUCGUGGGGGAUAACGUAGCGAAAGUUACGCUAAUACCGCAUACGAUCUAUGGAUGAAAGCGGGGGGUCGCAAGACCUCGCGCGAUUGGAGCGGCCGAUAUCAGAUUAGGUAGUUGGUGGGGUAAGGCUCACCAAGCCGACGAUCUGUAGCUGGUCUGAGAGGACGACCAGCCACACUGGGACUGAGACACGGCCCAGACUCCUACGGGAGGCAGCAGUGGGGAAUUUUGGACAAUGGGCGCAAGCCUGAUCCAGCCAUGCCGCGUGCAGGAUGAAGGCCUUCGGGUUGUAAACUGCUUUUGUACGGAACGAAAAGGUUUGACUUAAUACGUUGGACUCAUGACGGUACCGUAAGAAUAAGCACCGGCUAACUACGUGCCAGCCGCCGCAGUAA